UAAUUUUGAAUGUAAAAGUCUAACUUUAUAUAGGUUCUCAAAAAAUAUAAUUGGGAAACUUUUUUACAACAAUGGAGAGGGGAAUUUGAACCAUGUUUAUCCUAUAAAUUAAAGCAACUACCUUAUGCAAUAAACAUAUAAAUAUAAUGCAUUUUGGCUAAAUUUUGAUGCGUUUUGGGAUGAUACAAUUAUGUAAUUUGAUUUAUGUUAUCAAGAUGUAAUCUACAAUUUUACAUUGAAAUUUUAUUCAUAAUGUUCUACUCAUACCAAAAGAAUAUAUUCUGCAGAGUGCAAAGGUAGAUAUUAAUGUGGAGAAGGUUUUCUUUUCAAAAGCAAGGGAUAUUAAAUGAAGGCUUGCUGAUACUAAUUCCAAGAUUGAGGUAUGCAAAAAGAUCCUCAAUGGCUUGGUUGCUUACAAUAUUAGAACCAUAAAGACUUUUAACAGAGAAAGCAUGAAGUCCAUAAACAAAUGGUUAAACUAUUUGACUUUUGGUUUAUUUUAGGAUUAUAAAUGUUAUUUUGAGCUAUGAAUAUAAAUUUUUAUGAUGUUAUGAAGAAAGGUUUUUGUUUUUCUUUUGCUGUAAGUUUAAUUUUUUCCCGUUAUUCAAAUUAUGUUAAUAUAUAUUAUUAUGAUGAAGUAUUAUUUACUUUUGAUGAUGUUAUAUAAAAAAAGAAGUGUACUUUUGAUGAUGCUAUACCGUGUUUUCAUUCUUUUUCGUCUUUUUCUCCAAUUGCAGUAUACCGUGUUUUUUGUACCAGAAAUUGGGUCUUAUGCCAAAAAUAAUAAUUGAAUCAAGAGACUAAACCUACAUUUAGAAUUCAUUUCUAUCUAAACUGCACUAUGAUUAUUACAAAAUCAUUGAUUUAACUCUCUCCUUUUCUGUUUUUGUGUAGGUGAUUUUGUAGAUUUCCAUGCACCAAUGUAUAUCUUACAUGCCCACAUUGCUUAUCACGAACCAAGAACUUGUGCUACAAAUAACAAAAUAAUGUUAUGAACAAUUUUAAUGUUGUAGCUUCAUUGAUGGUAUGUACUUAAAAUGAUUUCAAGCAGCUUCAUUGAUGGCAUGUACUUAAAUGAUUUCAAGCAAAUGCUUCAAAUAUUGAACCUUACUGUAUUUUAAAUUUUUUCCAUAGAGAGUGGCUUGGCUGAGCCUAAUAGCACUGCUUCGAAUAAUUGUGUAUUACUUUCAACCCAACAUUUGGUGUUUUUGAAA